UGGACCCCAGGAUAGGUAAGAGUUGUGAUGAAGGAAGUCAUUCCUGACUGAAGUCCCAGACUCCCCUGCUGCUGCUGCUUACCACUCGAUAGUACAGAGUAUCCAGGCCUACUGCUUGUCCCAUGUGACACGGGAGGAGAGUGCUGGCUAGAAGCCAGUCUGGAGGCCACCAUGUUGCUCUGGAUGCCAGGGACGGAUCACAUGUCGAGGGUCCCUACUGUCUGAUGAAUAGAUCACAUGCUCUGGUUUAGGAACUGAUGUAGGAUCACAAUGUGUCUCAGGGUAGGACACCUGAUGUAAAGAGUCAGUUCUGUUACUCUGAGACUGUUUGUGAAUAUGGGACCUGAUCCUAGAUCCAGUUCUGUUACUCUGAGACUGUUUGUGAAUAUGGGACCUGAUCCUAGAUCCAGUUCUGUUACUCUGAGACUGUUUGUGAAUAUGGGACCUGAUCCUAGAUCCAGUUCUGUUACUCUGAGACUGUUUGUGAAUAUGGGACCUGAUCCUAGAUCCAGUUCUGUUACUCUG